GAUGAACGCUGGCGGCGUGCCUAAUACAUGCAAGUCGAGCGAACGGACGAGAAGCUUGCUUCUCUGAUGUUAGCGGCGGACGGGUGAGUAACACGUGGAUAACCUACCUAUAAGACUGGGAUAACUUCGGGAAACCGGAGCUAAUACCGGAUAAUAUUUUGAACCGCAUGGUUCAAAAGUGAAAGACGGUCUUGCUGUCACUUAUAGAUGGAUCCGCGCUGCAUUAGCUAGUUGGUAAGGUAACGGCUUACCAAGGCAACGAUGCAUAGCCGACCUGAGAGGGUGAUCAGCCACACUGGAACUGAGGCACGGUCCAGACUCCUACGGGAGGCAGCAGUAGGGAAUCUUCCGCAAUGGGCGAAAGCCUGACGGAGCAACGCCGCGUGAGUGAUGAAGGUCUUCGGAUCGUAAAACUCUGUUAUUAGGGAAGAACAUAUGUGUAAGUAACUGUGCACAUCUUGACGGUACCUAAUCAGAAAGCCACGGCUAACUACGUG
rnacentral:rRNA from 1 species